UUAAAUAAUCAUCAAAAUUUCAUAAAAUUUUUUUAAGACAUACACGUUGUAUUCAGAAAAGGAAAAGGAUUUAUUGUUGCAAGGACAUAAAAGUUGAGAAAGAACGUAACAGAUGCGAAAAAGAUCUUUAAGAGGAUUCUAAAACUAUUGUAUCAACCUUUUUAAUAAACUAAUUUUUUUAUUGGCUUUAUAGAAUGUAAGUCUUUUACAGAAUUAAAGUACGCCUGAGGAAACUGAUAAAAGAAAAGUUAUCCUUCCGGACGACACCGUGUCGGUUCAUUCGCUGCUUCGAGUUCCGUGACCGAUUCACCCCGUUUCCACACAACUGCUAUAUUCACAUUCAAGAAGUUUAUUAUUUCAUUGAAUUUAUUAGCACCGCCUGUUGAUGAUCCUCUUUCGUAUAUCCUAGAUUUUUUUUCGAUGUCACCAUAUUAAAUCUCCGUGAUUAUUAAAUCUGGCUAAUUAUUCGAAACUUCUAAUUUAAAAAAACAUCUGACAGAAGAACAAAUAAUGUGCAGAUUGCAUCCUUUGUUUUUUUUUUAGCGUCGCGUUGCUAAUUCACCGAAAGUCCAUCAGACAGUUUUCCAUCAAGAAUCCACUCAUGGGCUCAAGUUCUUGCACAAAAAUCUAGAGGAAAAUGCUCGAGAUCAUAUCAAAUGUAUGUAUUUCUUUUAUAGAUUUGAAAAUCCUUUCCCAGAAUUAAAGUACACAUAUAUUAAUCUUGGAGAAAUAAAGUAACAGGAGAGAAUGUGACAGGGCAAGAGGUAUUGGCAGCGAACGGAAGGAGGGAAUAGAGGGUGGACACAGUGCAUUUGCACACAGUGCUUUUCCAGGGAAAAAUGGCAAGAUCGACAUUGAUCAGACGUCGAUGGCGUCUACAGCUUUCCCAGGUAUAAUAAAUCAGAUCGACGCACGACGUCGAUUAGACGUCGAUAGCAUUUACACGGCUCCAUGAAAUGGGAGAUAAAGGGUGUACCGAUAUGUGUUGCAACUAUAUAUGUAUGUUUCAUUUUCUUUUUGAAAUCUUUCUCAAACUAAAAAAAAGAAAUGAAUGAAUAUAUAAAUGAAUGAAUGAAUGAAUGAACGAAUGAAUGAAUGAAUGAUUAAUUCUCUUUCUCUCUCUUUUAUUAAUUUAUAAAAAUGAUUGGCCUCAUUGGAUCUUAGUUUGUCUCUGGAGAAAACUCAAUGUAUUAUUUUUAAUAGAAUAAAAUCGCCAGUUAACAAUGGAACAUUACUUCUGGAUAAUAGAUCAAUUCGGCUUCAGAACAGGGUCAAAUACCUUGGCUUAAUUAUGGAUGAGUCUCUCAGGUGGAAGUUCCACAUUGACGAUUUGAAGAAUAGAAUUAGGAGAUAUUCAAACAUUUUAAAAUGGAUUGCUGGUUCUUCUUGGGGGGUCAGUUCUCAGGACUGCAUAAGAUUCAUUAAUGCCACAAUUGGCGCCCAAAUGGAGUGGGGAUGCAUGUGGUACCACAGUGCUGCCUGUUCAUAUAUUUGCGCUCUGGAAAAAUCCCUAGGACUAUAAAUCCGCGCUUGGACUCCCUAGAUCAACUCAACAGAGUGGUCUGGAUAUUCAGCAAACAGUUUUAACCUUGUCUUUCGAAGAGGAUUAUGGUUAACUAGAAGGGUAGCGAAUAGGAACAUCCCGUACAUUGUUGAUAGAUGGCCUGCGACGGUUCUAGAACUCCCGUGGAAGAGGGAGGACCUCUGGGCCUUAGAAAUAGUCCUGGAAAAUGAUUGGAAAGAAUUGAACAUCUGUUUUGACUCUAAAAGCAACCUAGAGGUGAUUAAAUCCUCGGAGGAGGUAUAUCGAAAUACUAUUAUUAAACUUGGCUGGACAGAAUAAGGAUGCAACUUGCCGUAGCUAAAAAAAGGGAUCACAAGAUAAGAUUUACAUGGUGUCCAGCACACAAAAACAUAGAAAGGAACGAUAAAGUGGAUAGCACGGCUCAGGAUGGGACGCUGAUUGGUGAUUCGAUUGAUAAGUUCAACUAUAUAGCUUUCCCAGAGGUCAUUACAGCUUUAAUUAAAGACUAUGAAACAUCAGAUAUUGACUUUCUUAAUAGAAUUAACAUAAACACCGGUAAUUAUUUCAUAAAC
rnacentral:misc_RNA from 1 species